CUACAAAAAACAAAAUAAUACUGUGCAAUUUUUUGUACUCAUUUCUUUUAUACAUCUAAAAAUUUAAAAUAACGCGUCAACGAUAAUACAAAAUAAUAUAAUAUAUAAUAAUUAUCAAAUAUUCUCCUUAAGUAUUUUGAUGCGAUUAAUAUAUAAUAAAAACAUAAUAUCAAAUUGUUAAAAAUAUGAUGAGGCACUUUCCAGGUAACUAAUUAACACAACUAGGCACAAAAUAUAAUGUGGAUAUAAAAAAAAAAAAAAUUAUAUAAUUAAUAAAGUUUUAUGCUCGGUGUUUGAAAAUUCGGCAAUUCAGGCUGUAGAAAAAAUAUUAUAUUUAAUUCUUGCUGUAUAUUAUCAUUAAAAGUACGUUUAAACAUAAAUAAAAAUUACAUAAAAAAAAAAAAAAAAAAAAAAAACCGAACAAUAUAAUAUAUACUACGAACCAAUAUUGUUAUUUGGCACAAUACAAAGUCUAAAAGUUUGAUGAAAAAAUGAAAAAAAAAAAAAUCCGACACUUAAAAUACCUUAAAAUACUAAUAAACACGCGAACUGAAAUGCAAGGUGGACGUAUGUGUAUUUUGUAAAUCCGUCGCGAUAAUUCCUAACGUUAUGGCGGUUAAAAAAAAAAAAAAAAAAAAACAGUCUACCGGCCUCGUUGAUAACGUUGAUACGCGCGCGAUGAAAUCGUAACGUUAUCGGUGACGAUGACAUAUUGCAAAACGCGGUUUACGAAGUAAAAAACCGGAUCGCCGACCGAACGGGAAGUGGUGAGUGUAGUGGUUUUUGUUAUUGAAAAUUACGGAAAAAAAAAAUAAAAAUAAAGAACAACCGGAAUUCGAAUUCACGCGCCGUUCGACAACUUACUGUCGUCGUCGUCGUCGCCCCGUACAUUAUUAUUAACCGGUCUGUCAUAGUCGUGGAAAAAAGAAAAAUUUUACGGUUAAAAAACAUUCGAUUCUCGUUCUCCCCACCCCCGUUGCCGGUGACGAACGACACGGACACUCGCGUGGGCGAUUUCGUAGCAGAACGAAACGAAAUGGCGGCGCGGAGUCGGCCGCCCACCGCGUUUCGCGCGACACGACCCGUCGAAGUUGCAAUCGUUUCCGGGGAGGGGGGGCCGACAACAGAACGGCACGACGAUGCAGGCGGCCGCCGAAAUCGAAUCGUAUGCGUUCGCCCGAAAUCUCGUAACACGCCCGUCCGAAGACACGGGCGCGGCGGGCACAGCGGCGUGCGCGAAUCCCGUCGCGGAACAGCGGACGCCGGUCCGGUGGAAAUUGAAAACCCGCGAUUGUCGACAUGCGCGAAAACGGGUACAGGCGUAGAAUGCCUCGGAACGCGGUUUUUCCGUUUCAAAA